rnacentral:rRNA from 1 species
AUGUCCUCUGACUGGGAGGAUUUAUAUCCACUUGUUUAUGUUCAUAAGUUGGUCAAGGAGAUUUUUGACCAUAACCCAUUACUUCUGGAUGGGGUGGCAUCAUCUAGGACCCCGGGGAAUAGGUGCUUUAAAUUUGAUAAUACCUGGUUGAAUAACACAGACUUCCUUCCCUUAGUGGCUGAGAUCUGGUCUAAGCCACUUUAUACUAAGGAUCCUAUUGAAAUUUUAAAUAUUAAAUUGAAGAGGUUUAAAAAGUUCUUCAAAGGUUGGAGGUCCAAUAUUUUUGGGCACAAUAAAAUCAGGAAGAAUCUUAUUAAACUUGAGUUGCAAGGAUUAGAAAAACUUUAG